GUUGAUUGGAGGGGAUAUGGCUUUUAUUUACGUAUUAUUUAUGGUAUCGUUAUAGCAUCCACCUUGAAUGGAAAUAGCAAACACUUGCACAUGCCACGUUAGAAUCGGCUUUCUUGCAGUGAAGCAGUAUGACUUGUUCACUUGCCGUGAUACACAGUUGCACGCUCUAUCUAGCUCUGUAUUCACAGGCUGUGCAGUAAAUCCGCCUCCUCUGAU